rnacentral:sRNA from 1 species
GAAAAAGUUUGUGAAAUUGUGAACAUGUCAAAGGAACUUGAGAUAUACAGGUCGUCGCAAGGGUGAGGACCAAUGCAACGCCACCGUGUGCCAAGAAUUCAGUCAACCUGAGCUAUCUAGACUGGGUGGCUACCCUAUCAAUCAGCAACAAUCUGUACAACGUUGUCGAAUGAAUUAUCCUUGGAAUUAUCAGUCUGAUCGCGUUAUUUGGGAGCCGUAAACAGCUUUGCUAUGUUCGUCAAGCGACAAUGAAAGACAAGGGAAAUAUCCUACGAUCGAUGAAUCGUCAUCGCGACUACCUGUUACAGAUACAAAAAAUAUGCAGGAACAGACUCCAGGAUAGGACUUUCUCAAGAGAGGAAAGACAGAGAAAAGAAGCACGCAUUAGCAUUUGUAACGCGCGCAACGUUCACCAGGUAUCCACCAAAGGGGAAGGCACCUGGUGAGAAAAGCCUUCUGGAGACCCUCGUCCUGACUCCUGAUUACAAGGACGUGGUAGCGGAGGAGGGAUACCAGCUAUUACGCAACAAUGCACCGCCACCUGCACUCGUUUCGUCACUCGACUUUAACAGGCCGACGGUGGUUGGCCGGUCGGCCGGCUCGCAUUACUUUCGCCAAUUAAGCCUGUGCACAGCCGUUGUAAUUUAACUCGCGAAUAUGAAAUUCCAGAAUUAUUCGGGAUUCUAGAAUAUCGAAACCGGUGGUGUCCCCGACUAAUUCAUCAUCGAUUUUUACGUGGCAGCCGUCAAGUGCAUAGACAAGAUGCAUUUUUUGUAUCAGGACUAAAUCAGAAUUUCUUUUCUACUUUUUUUUCAUAUUUCGUCAGAGGGUUUUUAUUUUCUUUCGAAUAUCUGUGUAUAGAGAAUGUGAGAAAGCUAAAGCGACGAUAUAGACAUGAUUUUAAAUUUACGAUCUCUACUAUUCAUACUGCUUCUCAUUGCACGUCGAUCGCAAUGAAGCAGUAGAUGUGUUUAGAAGAGAGAGAAAAAAAGAAAAAACAGUCUGUUUGUUGCGUUUUGCCAAACUGACUUUUAUUUCUGAUAAAACAUGAUAACUAUCAUGAGUUAAAUACGUUGGUAAAAAAGGAAAUUAUAUCUUUUUCAAGUUUUAACUAUACUUAUAUGUAGUAGUAUAUUAUAUUAUAAUUGUAAUCGCAGAAUAUUUAUCAAACAAUGAUGAUGAAUUGAAUAUUCAGAAGCAACAUCUGAAUAUAAAUAGUCCAAUUAAAAUGAUCGAUUAUAUAAAAUAAUCUUUGAGUAUGAAGUAUAGAAAUUUAUAUCUUUUAGAUAAGUAUAACUUAUGCGACGAAAUAAAUUGUCAAUUGAAAAAGGUUUUCUUCCGUGAGCCUUAUACGCAUGGAUAUUCUUCAGUCGGACGUAACAUAAAUCAUCGUCACCUUUGAUCAGGAUAAGAAUGGGCAGAUGACAAAUCUCACUCUGCUUCUAACUGGAAAAGCAGCUAAAAAGAGUUGCGUCAUUUUGUCGAAAAUGCGAAAAUCAUCAUGCGGAAAGCUUCGUCUAACAAGUCUACGCCUUAAAAGCGCAGCGACGUGCAAUAAGUCUAAUAAGUAAAGAAUGUUAUUUGACAAUUUAAUAUUAAUAGUAUUGUAAAGCGCGUGUGCUUGAGUGCAGGAUCGUGGAAUAAAUAUACACGUGAUUUAUAUAGAAAUUAACAUUUUAUGCUGGUUUUUUAUUAGGAAAGACGUAAAUGUAUAGUACAAAAACAGAAACUUUUUAUAAUAAACUCUCAUCUAGUUCCU